CUACGGGAGGCUCCAGUGAGGAAUAUUGCACAAUGGGGGAAACCCUGAUGCAGCAACGCCGCGUGGAGGAUGACGCAUUUCGGUGUGUAAACUCCUUUUAUGAGUCAAGAAAAUGACGGUAGCUCAUGAAUAAGCACCGGCUAACUCCGUGCCAGCAGCCGCGGUAAUACGGAGGGUGCAAGCGUUACUCGGAAUCACUGGGCGUAAAGGACGCGUAGGCGGGUUGGAAAGUCAGGUGUGAAAUCCUACAGCUUAACUGUAGAACUGCACUUGAAACUUCUAACCUAGAGUAUGGGAGGGGGAGAUGGAAUUAGUGGUGUAGGGGUAAAAUCCGUAGAUAUCACUAGGAAUACCGAAAGCGAAGGCGAUCUCCUGGAACAUUACUGACGCUAAGGCGUGAAAGCGUGGGGAGCAAACGGGAUUAGAUACCCUCGUAGUC
rnacentral:rRNA from 1 species